rnacentral:rRNA from 1 species
GGAGGAAAGUAGGGGAUCGAAAGACCUUAUGCUUUUGGAGCGGCCGAUGUCUGAUUAGCUAGUUGGUAAGGUAAUGGCUUACCAAGGCGACGAUCAGUAGUUGGUCUGAGAGGACGGCCAGCCACACUGGGACUGAGACACGGCCCAGACUCCUACGGGAGGCAGCAGUGGGGAAUUUUGGACAAUGGGCGCAAGCCUGAUCCAGCAAUGCCGCGUGAGUGAAGAAGGCCUUCGGGUUGUAAAGCUCUUUCAGUCGAGAAGAAAAGGUUGUGACUAAUAAUUGCAAUUUAUGACGGUAUCGACAGAAGAAGCACCGGCUAACUACGUGCCAGCAGCCGCGGUAAUACGUAGGGUGCGAGCGUUAAUCGGAAUUACUGGGCGUAAAGGGUGCGCAGGCGGCUAUGUAAGUCAGAUGUGAAAUCCCCGGGCUUAACCUGGGAACUGCGUUUGAAACUACAAGGCUAG